rnacentral:tRNA from 1 species
GCCCGGCUCACUCAGUUGAUAGAGCAUGAAACUCUGAAUCUCAGGGUCGUGGGUUCAGGCCCCACGUCGGGUG